GUGGGGGAGGGGGUGGCCCAAGAUGGCAGCAUAGGAAGACAUACCAGAUCUACAACCACAUAUGAAAUAAUUCCCGCUGAGAAAGAACCAAAAACUAGCUGAACAAUUUCCUCUACAACAAGGAAUAAAAGGACCACAUCACGAUGGUCUCUCCAUGAGCAGAAACUCAUUAAAAUGGUUGCUGAAUUUGUUUCCACGAAUCCUUCUCCUCCUGACAGAGGAUCCACUUGAGAAGGUGAAUGAGCAGAGAAAAAAAGAUGAUAAACCCUACCACAGAAGAUCAGAUCAUCUGAUUGGCUUCAAGAGAAUGGACACAACGGGACUAAUUAUAUCCUAUGAUCUUGGGGUACAUUGGUAAUUUUUAGCCUAAUAAUUCAGGCCCAUGUUGAAUUAAAGAAAUUUUAUCCCAUAUGAUCAUCCAAUGGCAUGUUUUGGCUAAGCA